GGGUCGUUAGCUCAGUUGGUAGAGCAGUGGACUCUUAAUCCAUUUGUCCAGGGUUCGAUCCCCUGACGACCCACUA
rnacentral:tRNA from 1 species